rnacentral:lncRNA from 1 species
CUGGUCAAGAGAAUUCUUUGUUUCUUUCUCUAUUAUUUAUUUAUUUUUAAGAGAACUCUUUAUAAGGUCAAAGAGCAGAUGAUUUAGAAGCAGAAAUGAUUAACCUGGAAGUUCAAAACAUUGUAGCAAGAAUAUAAAAUUUUAGAUUGGAGCCAGGUGGUGGCUCAUGCCUGUAAUCCCAGCACUUUGGGAGGGGAAGAUGGCUUGUGCCCAGGAGUUCGAGACCACCCUGGGCAACAAAAUGAGACCCCCAUCUCUACAAAAAAAUUAAAAAAUUAGCCAUGCAUGAUGGCAUGCACCUGUGGCCCCAGCUACGUGGGAGGCUGAGGCUGGAGGAUAGCCUGAGUCCAGAAGGUGAAGGCUGCAGUGAGCUGUGUUUGCACCACUGCACUCCAGCCUGGGCAACAGAAUGAGACUCUGUGUAUAAAUAAAUAAAACUAAGAGAGUUCUCACAUCGAGCUGUGAAGGUAGUUUGCUAAUUUAUCUGGGGUUUUGCUGUUAUCUUUUGUUAAAAAUCAACUUGCUGGGGUGAGGUGGCUCACAUCUGUAAUGCCAUCACUUUGGGAGGCUGAAGGGGGAGGAUCACUUGAGUACAGGAGUUUGAGACCAGCCUGGGCAAUGUAAGGAGACCCUGUCUGAAAAAUUAAAAAAAAAUAGCCAGGCGUGUUGUCAUGUGCCUGUAGUUCCAGCAAUGGCAGGCUGAGGUGGGAGCAUCGAUUGGGCACAGGAGGUUGAGGCUGCAGUGAGCUGUGAUUGCACUGCUGCACUCCAGCCUGGGCAACAGAGCAAGACCCUGUCUCAAUAAAUAAAAUAAAGUAGCAUCAAAUUGAUACAUAUCCUAGAGUAGUUAUCUUUUUUUCCUCUGAGCUCCAACAAGAAACAACAGUAUUUACAUUUUUAACUGGAGACAAAACUCUGCAUAGGAGAAAUUCAAACAUCAGCAGACAUAUGAGGGCGUUUUUUGGCAGAGGCAACUUACUGUCAAUAAAGUCUCACCCCUGGUGAACGCCACCUGCUCACACGUACAAAAGGAAAGUCAUUUAGUGAUCAUGAAUCCUGGUUUGACGUUAAGGUCCAUGUCUGAAGUGUCGUUUAUGAUUAGGGAAGUCUGAGUCAUCCUUAGGCUUCCUCUAUUGCAUUUGAGUCAUUUCCUUUUUUACAGACCCAAACUGUACAGCCCAGGAUAUUUCUUAAAUGUCCAAAAGUACAGAGUUUUGGAACUAAAGGGACAUUCGAGAUCAUUGAGUUCAGUGUACUCGUUUUACAAAUGGUGAAACUAAGGCCAAGAGGAGCAUGCCUUUGCCUGAUUGCACAGCCUCUGUGGGGCAGUUUUGCCUAUACCAAGAAGGGUAUAGGAAAAUACCCUAUUCUCUAGAACCAGCUGAUUUCACAGCAAAUUUGGAUUCUGGCUUGAAUUUAUUUUUGUCAGAAGUAAACUAAAAAUACUUGGUCUGAAAGUCUGAGAGGGACUCAGGGCCCAGGGGAACAAGCAGGCAUCUCUGGUAUAUCCCCCUCAAAUAGUUUUUUGUUUGUUUGUUUUAGACAGAGUGUUGCUCUUGUUUCCCAGGCUGGAGAGCAAUGGCGCAAUCUCGGCUCACUGCAACCUCCACCUCCUAGAUUCAAGCGAUUCUCCUGCCGCAGCCUCCCAGGUAGCCAUCACACCCAGCUAAUUUUUUGUAUUUUUAGUAGAGAUGGGGUUUCAUCAUGUUGGCCAGGCUGGUCUCGAACUCCUGAUCUCAGGUGAUCCACCCACCUUGGCCUCCCAAAGUGUUGGGAUUACAGGCGUGAGCCACCAUGCCCGGCCCCCCUCAAAUGGUUUUAUCUGUCACACUGGUGCUCCUGCAAUGGACAAAGGAGACGUUUCCUGUAGGACCAGCAUCUCUUUACUCAGGUUUUUCAAUCUUGGAACUGCUGACAUUUUGGGCCAAGUAAUUCUUUGUUGCAGGGACUGUCCUGUGCAUUUCAGGAUGUUUAACAGCAUCUUUGUCCUCUACCCAUUAGUUGCUUAGUCAGAAUAAUCAGAAAAGUCCCCAGACAUUGCCAAAUGCCCCCUGGAGUUGCCUGGUUGCCUGGUUGAGAAUCACUAUGCUUAAGAAAGGGGCUCUUGUUGUAAUCCCAGCACUUUGGGAGGCCGAGGCGGGAGGAUCACGAGGUCAGGAGAUCGAGACCAUCCUGGUUAACACAGUGAAACCCCAUCUCUACUAAAAAUACAAAAAUUAGCUGGGCAUGGUGGCAUGCGUCUGUAGUCCCAGCUACUCGGGAGGCUGAGGCAGGAGAAUGGCAUGAACCCCGGGAGGUGGAGCUUGCAGUGAGCCGAGAUCGCGCCACUGCACUCCAGCCUGCGUGACAGAGAGAGGCUCCAUUUCAAAAAAAAAAAAAAAAAAAGCGGGGAUGGGGGGCUGUUUUAACUCAGGUCUGGGCCCACUUAGUCCUCAUGGCAGUAUCUAUUCUUAUUCCUGCAUCUCCAUGCCUAGCUGCCUUUUUCUCACCUUUCUUUCUGGGGCUACCACACCUUUAUCAGAUGAGAUCCUCCAACCUCUCUCUACCCUCAGUAUCUCCAAAAGUGCCACCUGGGUUGAAAAUGAGAAGCAAAAGCAUCUACCCUUCCCCCUCUUGCACCAAGGGUAUACCCUAAUUAGAUAGGAAUUUACAUAAUUGGUAAAAAUAAGAUAUCAUGGGCUGGCCACAGUGGCUCACACCUGUAAUGCCAGCAUUUUGAGAGGCCGAGGCACGAGGAAUUCUUCAGCCCAGGAGUUUGAGACCAGGCUGGGCGAUGUAGUGAGACCUUGUCUCUACAAAAAAAUUAAAAAUUAACUGAGUGGUGGCAGGCGCCUGUAGUCCCAGCUACUCGGGAGGCUGAGGCAAGAGAAUUGCUUGAACUUCGGAGGAAGAGGUUUAAGUAAGCAAAGAUUACACCACCGCACUCCAGCCUGGGUGACAGAGCCAGACUCUGUCUCCAAAACAAAAGACAAAGUGCAUACAAGGCUCAGCUCUUAACAAUGACUGCUGUGAGUCAAGGAAAGACCCCUUCCUUGAGGGUGUGCUGGGAGGGGAUAGAUGAGGGCAUACCAAGAGAACCUUUGCCUUUUUUGCGCAAUUUCCCCUUGACUCAGCGGUCCCACUUCCCUUCCCCAGCCCACACUUGUCCUCACCAGUGCUUGUAUUUAGAAAUGCAAGCCCGUGUUGUCAUAGAAAAACAGAAACCAGAUGGUUGCUAUGGAGAUUUGUUUAAAUACACACCUAGAACAUGGCCCAGACUCUGGCAGUGGUGAGUAGCAAUUCUUGCUAGGACCUGCAUUUUUCUUCCUCUUAAUUUGCUGUUUUCCCACCCUUUUCUAUUCUUGCUACAUUUUCAUGCUUCUCACUCCUGCUCCAAAAUGCCACUUCCCACCUACCAGUACUGUUCUUAAACAUCUCCUGUGUCUCAGGAAGUCACUAUUUAAGAACAGACUUAUUUACCCUUUGAGCCUUAGUCCCUUCAUCUGUAAUAUGGGAAUAAUGACAAUAAAAACUCUAUAUGGGGCCAGGUGCAGUGGCUCAAGCAUGUAAUCCCAGCACUUUGGGAGGCCAAGACAGGUGGAUCACUUGAGGUCAGGAGUUCAGGACCAGCCUGGCCAAUGUGGUGAAAACCUGUCUCUACUAAAAAUACAAAAAUUAGCUGGGCGUGGUGGUGCACACCUGUAAUCUCAGCUACUCGAGACGCUGAGGCAGGAGAAUCGCUUGAACCCAGGAGGCAGAGGUUGUAGUGAGCUGAGAUCGUGCCACUGCACCCCAGCUUGGGCAACAGAGCAAAACUCUGUCUUUAAAAAAAAAAAAACAAAAAAACCAAACAAACAAACAAAAAAAACCUUAUAUGGGCUGGGCUGGGCGUGGUGCCUUAUGCCCACAAUCCCAGCAUUUUGGGAGGCCAAGAUGGGAGGAUCACUUGAGCCCAGAAGUUUGAGACCAGCCUAGGCUACAGAGUAAGGCCCCAUCUCUACAAAAAAACCUUAAAAAUUAGCCAGGUGUGGUGGCACGCACUGUGGUCCCAGCUGUACCAGAGGCUGAAGCAGGAGGAUCCCUUGAGCCCAGGAGGUCAAGGCUGCAGUGAGCCAUAUCUACACCACUGCACUCCAGCCUGGGCAACAGCCUGUCUCAAAAACUAAACUAAAAACCUUAUAUGUUUUUGUUAGAAUUAAAUUAGAUAUACAAAAAGAGGGGCGUGAGCCACUGCAUCCCGCCCAUGACAAAGUUUUAUUAACAUUUUCAGGGUGGCAAGGGAGUCAUGGAAAGCUAAGCACAUUGUAAUUCUGAAAAAAAAAAAAUGGGGUUCUGUCAGAAAGGAAGAAAGGGAGGAUAAAUGUUGGAUAAGACGGCUGGGCGUGGUGGCUCACACCUGUAAUCUCAGCACUUUGGGAGGCCAAGGUGGGUGGAUCAUGAGGUUAAGAGUUCAAGACCAGCCUGGCCAAGCUGGUGAAACCCCGUCUCUACUAAAAAUACAAAAAUUAGGCCAUGCAUGGUGGCUCAUGCCUGUAAUCCCAGCACUUUGGGAGGGCAAGGUGGGCAGAUCACAAGGUCAAGAGUUCGAGACCAGCCUGGCCAACAUGGUGAAACCCCAUCUCUACUAAAAAUGCAAAAAUUAGCUGGGUGUGGUGGCGGGUGCCUGUAAUCGCAGCUACUUGGGAGGAUGAGGCAGAGAAUUGCUUGAAUCCAGGAGGCGGAGUUUGUGGUGAGCCGAGAUCGCGCCACUGCCCUCCAGCCUGGGCGACAGAGUGAGACUCCG